GAGGAAAGAACUAAAUCAAGCACAAAAAAGCAAAGAUAAACUCUUAUACCUUCUGCAUAAUGUAUUAACUAGAAAUACUUUUACUUAGAGAACCAAAGCCAAGUCCCCCGAAACCAGACGAGCUACCCAAGAACAGCUGAAAGAGUACACCCACCUAUGUGGCAAAAUGGGGGGAAGAUUCAUGAGUAGCGGUGGUAAGCCUACCAAGCCUGGUGAUAGCUGAUUAUCCAAGAUAGAAUCUUAGUUCAACUUUAAACUUACUCAGAGAAUUACUUAAUCUCCCUGUAAGUUUAACUGUUAGUCUAAAGAGGGGCUGCUCUUUAGACUCUAGGAAACAACCUUCCUACACGCAAGUAAAAAAUAUUGCCACCAUAGUUGGCCCAAAAGCAGCCACCAAUUAAAGUGUUCAAGCUCAACAUCUGACCACCCUAAAUCCUACUUACAAUACUGAACUCCUUAUAUCACAUUGGACUAAUCUAUUACUCAACAGAAGCAAUAAUGUUAAUAUAAGUAACAUGAAGUGAUUCUCCUCUACAUAAGCUUACAUCAGACUGGAAUAAUCCACUAACAGUUAGCCUAAUAUUAAUAAAUACCUUAUUAUUUAUCCUCUUAAUCCAAUGCAGGUAUGGUCUAAGGAAAGAUUACAAAGAGUAAAAGGAACUCAGCAAAUCUUCCAUCACCUGUUUACCAAAAAUAUCACCUAUAGCAUUACCAGUAUUAGAGGCACUGCCUGCCCAGUGACAUAUGUUCAAUGGCCACAGUAUCCUGACCGUGUAAAGAUAGCAUAAUCACUUGUUCUUUAAUUAGGGACUUGUAUGAAUGGCCAUAUGAGGGUUCAUCUCUCUCUUACUUUUUAUCAGUGAAAUUCACCUAUCCGUGAAGAGGCAGAUAUACACAAAUAAGACGAGAAGACCCUAUGGAGCUUAAAUUUAUUAAUGCAAACAAAAACUCAAAAUAAGCCUAGAGGUGAUAAUCUACUAUCGCUGAAUUAAAAAUUUUGGUUGGAGUGACCUCAGAGCAUAAUUCAACCUCCGAACAACAUAAACUAACACCACACCAGCCUAUGCGAACUAACAUAUAUUGAUGCAAUAACUUAAUCAAUGGAAUAAGUUACCUUAGGGAUAACAGCGCAAUCCUAUUCUAGAGUCCAUAUCGACAACAGGGUUUACAACUUUGAUGUUGAAUCAGGACAUCCUAAUGGUGUAGCCGCUAUUAAGCGUUCAUUUGAUUAAAGUCCUACAUGAUCUGAGUUCAGACUGGAGUGAUCCAGGUCGGUUUCUAUCUAUUGAACAUUUCUCCU
rnacentral:rRNA from 1 species